rnacentral:rRNA from 1 species
AUUGAACGCUGGCGGCAGGCUUAACACAUGCAAGUCGAGCGGGGUGAUGGUGCUUGCACUAUCACUUAGCGGCGGACGGGUGAGUAAUGCUUAGGAAUCUGCCUAUUAGUGGGGGACAACAUCUCGAAAGGGAUGCUAAUACCGCAUACGUCCUACGGGAGAAAGCAGGGGAUCACUUGUGACCUCGCGCUAAUAGAUGAGCCUAAGUCGGAUUAGCUAGUUGGUGGGGUAAAGGCCUACCAAGGCGACGAUCUGUAGCGGGUCUGAGAGGAUGAUCCGCCACACUGGGACUGAGACACGGCCCAGACUCCUACGGGAGGCAGCAGUGGGGAAUAUUGGACAAUGGGGGGAACCCUGAUCCAGCCAUGCCGCGUGUGUGAAGAAGGCCUUAUGGUUGUAAAGCACUUUAAGCGAGGAGGAGGCUCUUUUGGUUAAUACCCAAGAUGAGUGGACGUUACUCGCAGAAUAAGCACCGGCUAACUCUGUGCCAGCCGCCGCCGCGG